rnacentral:rRNA from 1 species
GAUGAACGCUGGCGGCGUGCCUAAUACAUGCAAGUCGAGCGAAUGGAUUGAGAGCUUGCUCUCAAGAAGUUAGCGGCGGACGGGUGAGUAACACGUGGGUAACCUGCCCAUAAGACUGGGAUAACUCUGGAAACCGGGGCUAAUACCGGAUAACAUUUUGAACUGCAUGGUUCGAAAUUGAAAGGCGGCUUCGGCUGUCACUUAUGGAUGGACCCGGGUCGCAUUAGCUAGUUGGUGAGGUAACGGCUCACCAAGGCAACGAUGCGUAGCCGACCUGAGAGGGUGAUCGGCCACACUGGGACUGAGACACGGCCCAGACUCCUACGGGAGGCAGCAGUAGGGAAUCUUCCGCAAUGGACGAAAGUCUGACGGAGCAACGCCGCGUGAGUGAUGAAGGCUUUCGGGUCGUAAAACUCUGUUGUUAGGGAAGAACAAGUGCUAGUUGAAUAAGCUGGCACCUUGACGGUACCUAACCAGAAAGCCACGGCUAACUACGUGCCAGCCGCCGCCGUAAUAC